AAGGGAGCAGAGAAACAGGGUAUGUUUCCAAACUCCACAGGAGCCACUGCAUGGAAAAUGCAUCUCUUCUAGUCCCAGCAGGGUUUUGUUUGUGUGUUACACCCACUGUGUGGCCCCACCAUCAGGCUUCUAGCAACCACAGACCUGCUUCCAUGGCUCAUCACACACAAUCCUCCUGGGAUGUACCAUUAGCCACUGAGCACCACAUGCGGCCACCAAGUUUCCCAUGGGAGUGUGAGAACUGAGUCAAGUAGGGGCCCAGGACAGCAAGUAUCUGACGUGCAUAACUCAAAAACAGGUAGUAAAUCUGCUGUUUGGAUAAUGA